rnacentral:rRNA from 1 species
ACGGGGCGCAGCAGGCGCGAAACCUCCACAAUUCACGCAAGUGAGAUGGGGUUACCUCGAGUGCCGUCUGAAGAAGGCGGCUUUUCCAUGGUGUAACAAGCCGUGGGAAUAAGGGGGGGGCAAGACUGGUGUCAGCCGCCGCGGUAACACCAGCCCCCCGAGUGGUGGGGAUGAUUAUUUGGCCUAAAGCGUCCGUAGCCGGCUUUGUAAAUCUCUCGUUAAAUCCAGCGUCCUAAGCGUUGGGCUGCGAGAGACACUGCAGAGCUAGAGGGUGGGAGAGGUCAGCGGUAUUCCUGGGGUAGGGGCGAAAUCCAUUGAUCCCAGGAGGACCACCAGUGGCGAAGGCUGCUGUCCAGAACACGCCUGACGGUCAGGGACGAAAGCUGGGGUAGCGAAUCGGAUUAGAUACCCGAGUAGUCCCAGCCGUAAACGAUGCAGGCUAGGUGUUGGGUCGGCCACGCGCCGCCUCAGUGCCACAGGGAAGCCAUUAAGCCUGCCGCCUGGGGAGUACGGCCGCAAGGCUGAAACUUAAAGGAAUUGGCGGGGGAGCACCACCAGGCGUGAAGCCUGCGGUUUAAUUGGAGUCAACGCCGGGAACCUUACCGGGAGCGACAGCAGAGUGAAGGCCAGGCUGAAGGUCUUGCCAGACGAGCUGAGAGGAGGUGCAUGGCCGUCGCCAGUUCGUGCCGUGAGGUGUCCUCUUAAGUGAGGUAACGAACGAGACCCGUGCCCCAUGUUGCCAGCAAAUCCUAAAG